GAUGAACGCUGGCGGCGUGCCUAACACAUGCAAGUCGAACGGAGUCCCGCCUUUAACACCGUCGGGUCCAAGCGGGGAAGACUGUGUUGCGGACGGGAGAGUAACACGUGGGCGACCUGGCCCAUAGAGAGGGGUAACAGAGAUAAAUAUCUGCUAAUACCGCAUAAGCACACACUGCCACAUGUCUGCGGGUGAAAAGGGAAUCGGUAUGAGAUGGACCCGAGGCUGAUUAGCCAGUUGGCAGGGUAAGCGCCGACCAAAGCGGCGAUCAGUAGCCGAGCGGGGAGGAUGAACGGCCACAUUGGGACUGAGCCACGGCCCAAACUCCUACGGGAGGCAGCAGUGGGGGAUAUUGCACAAUGGGGGGAACCCUGAUGCAGCGACGCCGCGAGAGUGAAGAAGUAGUUCGGUAUGUAAAGCUCUAUCAGCAGGGAAGAUAAUGACAGUACCUGAAGAAGAAGCCCCGGCUAACUACGUG
rnacentral:rRNA from 1 species